rnacentral:rRNA from 1 species
UACGAAGGGGGCUAGCGUUGCUCGGAAUCACUGGGCGUAAAGCGCACGUAGGCGGCUUUUUAAGUCAGGGGUGAAAUCCUGGAGCUCAACUCCAGAACUGCCUUUGAUACUGAGAAGCUUGAGUCCGGGAGAGGUGAGUGGAACUGCGAGUGUAGAGGUGAAAUUCGUAGAUAUUCGCAAGAACACCAGUGACGAAGGCGGCUCACUGGCCCGGUACUGACGCUGAGGCGCGAAAGCGUGGGGAGCGAACAGG